AUCCAUAACGACUCUCGGCAACGGAUAUCUCGGCUCUUGCAUCGAUGAAGAACGUAGCGAAAUGCGAUACUUGGUGUGAAUUGCAGAAUCCCGUGAACCAUCGAGUCUUUGAACGCAAGUUGCGCCCGAAGCCAUUAGGCCGAGGGCACGCCUGCCUGGGUGUCGCA
rnacentral:rRNA from 1 species